GGUCUAGUGGCCUAAAGGUAAGGCGCUGCUCUCCGGAGGCAGAGAUUGUGGGUUCGAGUCCCAUCUAGACCU
rfam:Lipomyces starkeyi NRRL Y-11557 unplaced genomic scaffold LIPSTscaffold_6, whole genome shotgun sequence.